AUUGAACGCUAGCGGGAUGCUUUACACAUGCAAGUCGAGCGCGUGGGGGACGGGUGAGUAAUAUAUCGGAACGUGCCCAGUAGCGGGGGAUAACUACUCGAAAGAGUGUCUAAUACCCCAUACUAUUGGAGCAGCCUAUAUCGGAUUAGCUAGUUGGUGGGGUAAAGGCUGACCAAGGCAACGAUCCGUAGCUGGUUUGAGAGGACGACCAGCCACACUGGGACUGAGACACGGCCCAGACUCCUACGGGAGGCAGCAGUGGGGAAUGUUGGACAAUGGGGGAAACCCUGAUCCAGCCAUGCCGCGUGUAUGAGAAGGCCUUCGGGUUGUAAAGUACUUUUGGCAGAGAAGCGGUAUCUGCAGAAUAAGCACCGGCUAACUACGUGCCAGCAGCCGCGGUAAUAC
rnacentral:rRNA from 1 species